GACGAACGCUGGCGGCGUGCUUAACACAUGCAAGUCGAACGGAAAGGCCCCUUUGGGGGUCCUCGAGUGGCGAACGGGUGAGUAACACGUGCGUAACCUGCCCUUGACUUCGGGAUAACUUCAGGAACCUGGGGCUAAUACCGGAUGGGAAUCCUUGCUGCAUGGUGGGGUUUGGAAAGCUUCGGCGGUUUUGGAUGGCCUCGCGGCUUAUCAGCUUGUUGGUGGGGUAGUGGCUUACCAAGGCGUUGACGGGUAGCCGGCCUGAGAGGGCGACCGGCCACAUUGGGACUGAGAUACGGCCCAGACUCCUACGGGAGGCAGCAGUGGGGAAUAUUGCACAAUGGGCGGAAGCCUGAUGCAGCAACGCCGCGGGCGGGAUGACGGCCUUCGGGUUGUAAACCGCUUUCAGCAGGGGCGAAGCUUGUGGUGACGGUACCUGCAGAAGAAGCACCGGCUAACUACGUG
rnacentral:rRNA from 1 species